CCGCGCGGCUUGGCGGGCUAGGAGGCGGGCCAGGCCGGGUUCCUGCCGCACUCCAGGGGGCGUCGCCUCCCUUCCUGCCGCCCGCCCGCCUGCGGGGCCGAUCCUCUGCGCCUGCGUGGCAGGGCCGGCACCCGGCCCACUGUUCUCCGGCGCUGGGCGGCUAGGGGACAGGGCCUGCCCGGAGCGCCCACGCCCGGGAGUGCCCCGAGGGCGGCGCGGCCCCACCUCUGCACAUUCCGAGGGCCGGGGGCUGGCAGCUUCUCGGUUUCCUCAUCUGGGAAAUGGGGUAACACUGUCUAGUCUGUAAAAUGGGUCUCUCCGGCGGACUAGGGGCCAUCUCGCAGGGAAGUCGUGAGCGUGCAAAGACUCUUUGCUAUCUUCAAACGGCUGUGCAGAUCCACACAAUUAGGCUCUUAACCGGACCAUGACCGUCACCACCUACCGCAGUCUCGGGCCCCUUCCCCUAAACCCGGAGUUGCAGGGCGCGGAAAUUCCAGCUGUCUGCCCCGGGAUGCCCCCUGCCGACCUCUCCCAACCGCCUCACCUGGCGCCCGGCCACGUCCACUCCAGCCACCUGGCUCUCUCGCCAGAAGCCAAGCGCCUCCACGCCUCAGGGCCUUUGUACAUGCUGUUCUCUCGGCCUGGAAUGCGCUUCCUCCGACUUCUCACAGCCAAAUCCCACCGACCUCGAGGAGAUGACACCCCCUCCAAGAGGCUUUUCUAGGCCCCUCCUCUACUCCCCACGCCAGCCACGAUGUGACUGUUGGACAGGGGGUAAAGUCAAGCGGCGGCCACACACAGUGGGGGCCCCCAUCUCUGCGGGCUCAAUGCCCAACCGUGGGGACCACAACGUCAACUGGAGGACCUUGAACACCCGCUCCACCUGGGUCUGUGCAGACACACCGACGGGCGCGGGGCCCGCGUUUCCCACGCAGAUUCUUCACGAGGGAAACUCCCGUGUGGUGCGCGGUUUGCGCCCCAGGACGGAUAAAGUCAUGGGGACUGUGAGUCGAGAAACACUAGGACUCAGCCGGGGUCGGUCUGGCAACUAUGGACAAGUGUCUUGUUCAUCCAGCA
rnacentral:lncRNA from 1 species